NNNGACCUCAGAUCGGNCGAGAUAACCCGCUGAAUUUAAGCAUAUCACUAAGCGGAGGAAAAGAAACUAACAAGGAUUCCCCUAGUAGCGGCGAGCGAAGGGGGAAAAGCCCAGCGCUGAAUCCCCGUGCCCUGUCGGUGCGAGGGAACUGUAGCGUAAGGAAACUGAAUUCCGUGCGUNGCGNNCGUCGGCUGUCCUCCUUGAGUGGGGCUCCGUAGCGGGNGUAAGGCCCGUACGGNGGUGGCUCGGNNGGAAGGAUGCUUUCCAAGAGUCGGGUUGUUUUGGAAUGCAGCCNNAAGACGGGNNGUGAAUUCCAUCCAAGGCUAAAUAUUAAGCACGAGACCGAUAGACGACAAGUACCGUGAGGGAANNN
rnacentral:rRNA from 1 species